UUGAACGUUGGCGGCACGCCUAAUACAUGCAAGUCGAACGAGAAAGCACUUCGGUGUGAGUACAGUGGCGGACGGGUGAGUAACGCGUAGGAAUCUACCUAGUAGUGGGGGACAACUCGGGGAAACUCGAGCUAAUACCGCAUACGCUCUAAGGAGGAAAGUGGGGGACCUUUGGGCCUCACGCUAUUAGAGGAGCCUGCGUUAGAUUAGCUAGUUGGUGAGGUAAAGGCUCACCAAGGCUACGAUCUAUAGCUGGUCUGAGAGGACGAUCAGCCACACUGGAACUGAGACACGGUCCAGACUCCUACGGGAGGCAGCAGUAGGGAAUCUUGGGCAAUGGGCGAAAGCCUGACCCAGCGAUGCCGCGUGUGCGAAGAAGGCCUUAGGGUUGUAAAGCACUUUCAGUUGCGAAGAAAAGCUGCGAUUUAAUACAUCGCGGUCUUGACGUUAACAACAGAAGAAGUACCG
rnacentral:rRNA from 1 species